CCUACGGGGGGCAGCAGUGAGGAAUAUUGGUCUAUGGGCGCGAGCCUGAACCAGCCAAGUCGCGUGAGGGAAGACGGUCCUAUGGAUUGUAAACCUCUUUUGUCGGGGAGCAAAAGACGCCACGCGUGGCGUUCCGAGAGUACCCGAAGAAAAAGCAUCGGCUAACUCCGUGCCAGCAGCCGCGGUAAUACGGAGGAUGCGAGCGUUAUCCGGAUUUAUUGGGUUUAAAGGGUGCGCUGGCGGAAGAUCAAGUCAGCGGUAAAAUUGAGAGGCUCAACCUCUUCGAGCCGUUGAAACUGGUUGUCUUGAGUGAGUGAGAAGUAUGCGGAAUGCGUGGUGUAGCGGUGAAAUGCAUAGAUAUCACGCAGAACUCCGAUUGCGAAGGCAGCAUACCGGCGCUCAACUGACGCUCAUGCACGAAAGUGUGGGUAUCGAACAGGAUUAGAUACCCGGGUAGUC
rnacentral:rRNA from 1 species